AUUGAACGCUGGCGGCAGGCCUAACACAUGCAAGUCGAGCGAGAGGCGGACGUGUGAGUAAUGUAUGGGGAUCGGCCCGGUAGAGGAGGAUAACUACUGGAAACUGUGACUAAUACCGCAUACUAUCGGCUGAGCACAUAUGGGAUGAGGUAGUAGGUGGGGUAAAGGCUCACCUAGGCGCCGAUCUCUCGCUGGUAUGAGAGGAUGAUCAGCCACACUGGGACUGAGACACGUCCCAGACUCCUACGGGAGGCAGCAGUGGGGAAUAUUGGACAAUGGGCGAAAGCCUGAUGCAGCCAUGCCGCGUGUAUGAAGAAGGCCUUAGGGUUGUAAAGUACUUUCAGCGGGGAGGCGUUACCCGCAGAAGAAGCACCGGCUAACUCCGUGCCAGCAGCCGCGGUAAUUC
rnacentral:rRNA from 1 species